UCACGAACAUGGCAAACUACAUGAAAAUGUAGGACGCAAAGCUUCCGGCCUAAGUAUUUAUAUAAGGUAGCGGGGUUGCCGAC
rfam:Vibrio fischeri ES114 chromosome I, complete sequence.